GGCGCUUCUUCUCCUCUCAGGUGCGCGCACAGAACGGGAAAAGGAACAGAAAAACAAUAAUUAAAAUAAAAACACAGGUAUCUUCAAAACUCGCUCUCUCUGUAGUGUCAAAAAUCAAUUUCUCUUAGAAACCUUCGUCACUCCUCUUCUCAUGUGACCGACGGAAUUAGUCUGCUUACACUUAUUUUUCACUGACUUCUUGAUUCCACGGCGGCCGGUCUUCAGGAACUCCGGCGCCUCGCUCUCUUUUUGAAUCUUUUAACACUUCGAUAUCUCUGGAAUAGUAAGGGGUGAACAUGGUUGGGACCCAGCCACACCUUUAUGUAAGAUACAGAGGAUCCCUUCAUCUACUCCUCUUCAGAGGGCCCCUUCAUGUACCCCAGGUGGUCCAAAAAUUAGCGAAGAGAAGAUAUUAGUUACUGUACAUAUGAGGCCACUGAACAGGAAAGAACAAGCCAUGUAUGACCUCAUUGCUUGGGAUUGCAUAGACGACCAGAAGAUUGUUUUCAAGAAUCCAAACCAUGAACAGCCCACCACCCCCUACACCUUCGAUAAAGUUUUUGAGCCUGCCUGCUCAACUCAAAAGGUCUAUGAAGAAGGGGCAAAGGAUGUUGCCUUAUCUGCUCUAACAGGAAUUAAUGCAACAAUCUUUGCAUAUGGUCAGACUGGUGGUGGUAAAAUGUUUACCAUGAGAGGAAUAUCCGAAAAUGCAAUUAAAGACAUCUAUAAACACAUAAAAAAUAAUCAAGAGAGGGAUUUUAUACUGAAAAUUUCUGCUUUGGAGAUAUACAAUGAAACUGUAGUAGACCUUUUGAAUCAUAAGUCUGGUUCCUUGCGGCUUUUGGAUGAUCCUGAGGUACACAAGGAAAGGGAUCAUUGUGGAAAAUCUAGUUGAAGAAGUUAUUCAAGACAGCCAACAUUUAAGGCACUUAAUUGGGAUUUGUGAAGCUCAAAGGCAAGUGGGAGUGAUACGUACCUGAGCAAUGCUUCAGAACCAAAACAACUCCAGGCAGAACCCCACUCAAUAACUCUGUUAGGGAAAAGGUCUACGUGAGAAAGAAAGGAAGGAAAGAAACUGGACAAGGGAAAGAGUUGACUUGGAGUAGAAAGCACUUGGAAGGGCAGGCAGCAGACACACACUUUAGGAGACAAGCAUCAGACAAUCUGAAUGAGUCAGUACCCAUGCUAUCAGAAAUUAGGACCAUUGAAAUACUAGGUGCUGAGGUGGCAACUAGGGAAGAGGCAGAUGGCUACAAAAGGAUGAAUGAAAUAGAGAAAAAUAUCAGAGAUCAAGGAGAAGAAAAACAUUAGUGAGGGAGAGACCCAACCUCUCGAAAGCUGGAAGACGGUCAUAGAAACCUGUUUUGCUUAUUGUGUGUUAUUUUGUGAAAGGAGAUUUGUACUCAGCUUAUCAUUUUGAUUCUGAGGAUAUUUUGAGUGAAAUAUAAAAUUAUUUUGCUAUUUCAUUAACUGUUUAGAU